rnacentral:tRNA from 1 species
AAGAAUUUAAGUUAUAAGAAACUAUUGACCUUCAAAGCCAAAAUUAGAAAAUUUUCUAAUUCUUA